GACGAACGCUGGCGGCGUGCCUAACACAUGCAAGUCGAACGGGGUUGUUCCUUCGGGGACAACUUAGUGGCGAACGGGUGAGUAACGCGUGAGGAACCUGCCUUUCAGUGGGGGACAACAGUUGGAAACGACUGCUAAUACCGCAUAAUGUUGUCGGAUGGCAUCAUCUGGCAACCAAAGCUUUAUGUGCUGAAAGAUGGCCUCGCGUCUGAUUAGAUAGUUGGUGAGGUAACGGCUCACCAAGUCGACGAUCAGUAGCCGGACUGAGAGGUUGAUCGGCCACAUUGGGACUGAGACACGGCCCAGACUCCUACGGGAGGCAGCAGUGGGGAAUAUUGCGCAAUGGGGGGAAACCCUGACGCAGCAACGCCGCGUGAAGGAAGAAGGG
rnacentral:rRNA from 1 species